rnacentral:rRNA from 1 species
CCUACGGGUGGCAGCAGUGAGGAAUAUUGGUCAAUGGACGAGAGUCUGAACCAGCCAAGUAGCGUGAAGGAUGACUGCCCUAUGGGUUGUAAACUUCUUUUAUAUGGGAAUAAAAUGUUCCACGUGUGGGAUUUUGUAUGUACCAUAUGAAUAAGGAUCGGCUAACUCCGUGCCAGCAGCCGCGGUAAUACGGAGGGUCCGAGCGUUAUCCGGAUUUAUUGGGUUUAAAGGGAGCGUAGGUGGAUUGGUAAGUCAGUUGUGAAAGUUUGCGGCUCAACCGUAAAAUUGCAGUUGAAACUGGCAGUCUUGAGGACAGUAGAGGUGGGCGGAAUUCGUGGUGUAGCGGUGAAAUGCUUAGAUAUCACGAAGAACUCCGAUUGCGAAGGCAGUUCACUGGACUGCAACUGACACUGAGGCUCGAAAGUGUGGGUAUCAAACAGGAUUAGAUACCCGAGUAGUC